rnacentral:tRNA from 1 species
GUUUUUAUAGUGUAACUUAAACACAUUACAUUUUCGUUGUAAAACUGGAACACUUGUUUCUAAAAAUA